UACGGAGGGGGCUAGCGUUGUUCGGAAUCACUGGGCGUAAAGCGCGCGUAGGCGGACCAUUAAGUCGGGGGUGAAAUCCCGGGGCUCAACCCCGGAACGGCCUUCGAUACUGGCGGUCUCGAGGUCGAGAGAGGCGAGUGGAAUUCCGAGUGUAGAGGUGAAAUUCGUAGAUAUUCGGAGGAACACCAGUGGCGAAGGCGGCUCGCUGGCUCGAUGCUGACGCUGAGGCGCGAAAGCGUGGGGAGCAAACAGG
rnacentral:rRNA from 1 species